CGUGUAGGCGGCCGUGUAGGUCUGACGUGAAAUCUGGAGGCUCAACCUCCAGCUGUCGUUGGAAACCGCGCGGCUAGAGUCCGGAAGAGGAGAGUGGAAUUCCUGGUGUAGCGGUGAAAUGCGCAGAUAUCAGGAAGAACACCUAUGGCGAAGGCAGCUCUCUGGGACGGUACUGACGCUGAGACGCGAAAGCGUGGGGAGCGAACA
rnacentral:rRNA from 1 species